rnacentral:snRNA from 1 species
AGCUUUGCGCAGCGGCAGUAUCGUAGCCAAUGAGGUUUAUCCGAGGCGCGAUUAUUGCUAAUUGAAAAAAAAAAAAGUGACUGCUGGGCUGGAGAGAUGUCUUAGUGGUUAAGGCACUUGCCU